rnacentral:rRNA from 1 species
UGGGGAAUAUUGCACAAUGGGGAACCUGAUGCAGCCAUGCCGCGUGUAUGAAGAAGGCCUUAGGGUUGUAAAGUACUUUCGGUGAUGAGGAUGGUACUUGGUCUAAUAGGCCAAGUAAUUGACGUUAAUUACAGAAGAAGCACCGGCUAACUCCGUGCCAGCAGCCGCGGUAAUACGGAGGGUGCGAGCGUUAAUCGGAAUGACUGGGCGUAAAGGGCAUGUAGGCGGAUGAUUAAGUUAGGUGUGAAAUCCCCGAGCUCAACUUGGGAAUUGCAUUUAAAACUGGUCGUCUAGAGUAUUGUAGAGGAAGGUAGAAUUCCACGUGUAGCGGUGAAAUGCGUUAGAGAUGUGGAGGAAUACCGGUGGCGAAGGCGGCCUUCUGGACAGAUACUGACGCUGAGAUGCGAAAGCGUGGGGAGCAAACA